rnacentral:rRNA from 1 species
UUAGGUAGUUGGUGGGGUAAAGGCCCACCAAGCCGACGAUCCAUAGCUGGUCUGAGAGGAUGAUCAGCCACACUGGGACUGAGACACGGCCCAGACUCCUACGGGAGGCAGCAGUAGGGAAUUUUCCACAAUGGGCGAAAGCCUGAUGGAGCAACGCCGCGUGAGGGAUGAAGGUUUUCGGAUCGUAAACCUCUUUGGAGCGGGAAGAAUGGCUUGUGGGUGAAUAAUCCAUGAGCGUGACGGUACCGCUAGAACAAGACACGGCUAACUCUGUGCCAGCAGCCGCGGUAAUACAGAGGUGUCAAACGUUGUCCGGAAUUAUUGGGCGUAAAGGGCGCGUAGGCGGCCGGGUAAGUGAGAUGUGAAAGCUCUGGGCUCAACCCAGGAAUUGCAUUUCAUACUGCUCGGCUAGAGAUUGGUAGAGGAUGGCGGAAUUCCAGGUGUAGCGGUGAAAUGCGUAGAUAUCUGGAGGAACACCUGUGGCGAAGGCGGCUAUCUGGUCCAAUUCUGACGCUGAGGCGCGAAAGCUAGGGGAGCAAACAGGAUUAGAUACCCUGGUAGUCCUAGCUGUAAACGAUGAGUACUAGGUGUUGGAGGUAUUGACCCCUUCAGUGCCGUAGCUAACGCAAUAAGUACUCCGCCUGGGAACUACGGUCGCAAGACUGAAACUCAAAG